rnacentral:rRNA from 1 species
UACGUAGGGGGCUAGCGUUGUCCGGAUUUAUUGGGCGUAAAGGGCGUGUAGGCGGCUUUUUAGGUCCGUUGUGAAAACUCGAGGCUCAACCUCGAGACGCCGGUGGAAACCGUAAGGCUAGAGUCCGGAAGAGGAGACUGGAAUUCAUGGUGUAGCAGUGAAAUGCGUAGAGAUCAUGAGGAACACCAGUGGCGAAGGCGGGUCUCUGGACAGUUCCUGACACUGAGACACGAAGGCCAGGGGAGCAAACGGG